GUGGGGGGAACCAGGACUUUUACUGUGAAAAAAUUAGAGUGUUCAAAGCAGGCCUUUGCUCGAAUACGUUAGCAUGGAAUAAUAGAAUAGGACGUGCGGUUCUAUUUUGUUGGUUUCUAGGACCGCCGUAAUGAUUAAUAGGGACAGUCGGGGGCAUCAGUAUUCAAUUGUCAGAGGUGAAAUUCUUGGA
rnacentral:rRNA from 1 species